rnacentral:rRNA from 1 species
AGUGAACGCUGGCGGUAGGCCUAACACAUGCAAGUCGAACGGCAGCACAGGAGAGCUUGCUCUCUGGGUGGCGAGUGGCGGACGGGUGAGGAAUACAUCGGAAUCUACUUUUUCGUGGGGGAUAACGUAGGGAAACUUACGCUAAUACCGCAUACGACCUACGGGUGAAAGCAGGGGACCUUCGGUCCUUGCGCGAUUGAAUGAGCCGAUGUCGGAUUAGCUCGUUGGCGGGGUAAAGGCCCACCAAGGCGACGAUCCGUAGCUGGUCUGAGAGGAUGAUCAGCCAAACUGGAACUGAGACACGGUCCAGACUCCUACGGGAGGCAGCAGUGGGGAAUAUUGGACAAUGGGCGCAAGCCUGAUCCAGCCAUACCGCGUGGGUGAAGAAGGCCUUCGGGUUGUAAAGCCCUUUUGUUGGGAAAGAAAUCCAGCUGGCUAAUACCCGGUUGGGAUGACGGUACCCAAAGAAUAAGCACCGGCUAACUUCGUGCCAGCCGCCGCGGUAA